rnacentral:tRNA from 1 species
GCCCGCGUGGUGGAGCUGUAGACAUAUCGGACUUAAAAUCCGUGGCCUUCGGGCGUCCGGGUUCAAGUGCUGGCGCGGGCACCA